CCUACAGCUCUCCACCGAGUUAUGUAAAUUUGAUGCUCCUGUUUCGUCCGAGGAUAUUAAACAUUCACAUUCGAAGCUCAAAGUGGGUCACAUGAGUGGAAGAGAGGAUGAACGGCUCCAAGUGAACGAUGUGAAGCCGCCUUAUGGACGUACAACGUAAUUCUGGAAAUAAAAGGAACUUUGUGAAUGAAUAAUGGAGGGAGAUAAAAUGAGCGUUGGUUUUAUUCUCAAGGACGAAGAUAAAUCAGGAAUCCCAUCCAUGAAGGAACUGGUGAAAUGCCAUGUCACAUCUGAUAACGUCUCAACCGUUUGCUGCUGAAGACUUCAAAGUGGGAUCUGCAGGAUAUCACAUCCAGACGCUCCUAAUGACCCUGAACUUGGAAGCCUUUUCUCUCUGGUUUUGACAGAGAGGCUACAGAAAAAUGGACCGCAGCAGCCAUAAAAGAUGACUGAUGCAACGGAGGUCUUUGGCUGUGAAACCGGAGUAAACGACUCGUAGGCAAGUCAGACUUUAUUCACCACCGUACAUAUGAAAGAUAUCAGCAAAGGUUGUCUUUAAAGUCCAUCCAUUUCCCAGCAUGCACUGGUUUGAACAGCAAGACCUACAUGUCUUCACCUGAAUGGAAACGUCUCUGAGCAGCUUGUUGAAGGAGGCUGACUGCUGCUCCUGAAGGGCUUUGUGAGCUCCAACCCGAUACACCGACGAGCUCCCUCUUAAUGGCUCCUUCCACCUGCUUAGGGGAGAUAAAGGCAUCACCUUCAAUAUCUCAUGCGCCUCCAGCGGUCUGUGCUGAGCUUUAAUGGAAGCUGACAGGACGAGUUCCCUGAACGCAGCAUCUGGACUCUCAAAGACCGAGUGUCUUUGGUCUGAAGAGAAGAAGAGUGAAGGCUGAAUUCUACUUUACCGCUUCACAUCGCAAGUGUUUGUUUGAAAUGUCGAAGAAAAACAACACCGAACCUAAAGUGUCCAUGGAAAAUAAAGCUAGAUGGUAGAACAUGUUUAUCAGGAGUCUUUUUCUCUUCCUUAAACUGGUUGAUUUGAGGUGUUUUUUUAAGCACUUAACCUUCUGAAUUUAGUCAAAUUUUACUUUACUGUGGGCUCAUUUUACUUUGACAUAUAAAGUCCUGUUGUUGGUUAUUUAAAUGUAACAUGUAGAUUUUAGUGAUAUCGAUAAAAUAUCAUAAUUUUAAAUUGUGAUUUGGUUAAUUUUCCCAACAGAAAACUGCACGUCAGAAAUAAUAAGCUCAAGGAUUGUCAACAGCUUGAAAAUCCAGCAAAUCUUUCUGUUUUUAUUCUGCUAUAGAUAAUUGGCUUCUUACAUUUUUAAUUUGUUUUCUGCUUCUUUCUGCUCUGUGUAACACUGCCUGCAGUUCAUCCAAACAAAAAGAGGAAUUUUGCUACAUGACUGUUGUUUGCUAACAGCCUCAGUGUUGCACCAACAUACACUGAAUUUUAGUUAUUUUUUUGUUAGUUUGUUUGUUUUUACAGAAGGUGGUUAGAAAUGAUAUAUUUUUGGCAAAACUUUUAAUUGAGACAUGCUAAAUAAUCUGAUUUUGAUUAAAUAUCUCAAUAUUAAGCUUUGGUUAAGUUUUCUGAGAGGAGUAGUUCAAGGAAAGUUGAAAAUCAGAUUUUUCUUUUAGUUUUUUUUCAUUUCUGGCUCUGAAAAAUGGUAUAAUUUUGGCAUGUUUUGUAAAGUCAAACCAUCAGCAUGUUUUGAGGCUCAGAGGAUUAAUAUACUGUACAAAACUAUGAAAAUGGUCGGCUCAUGGUGGAACUAAAAUUAGCAGAAUUUAUCCACUGGGGACCAUGAAUAUCUGCAACAACAACAAAAAUGUACCAAACCAAUUAUUAGAUGUUGAAACUUCACUGAAAACUUUGCUGUCAUUUUAGAUCUAGAUCUGGAAAGUCAGAAGUCGUCAAAAUGAUCGGAAUUCAUCCUCUGGGAACCACAAAUGCCUGUAUAAAAAAAAUAAUGGUUAUCUCUUGAAAUUUUACGAAACACAAACUCAGAUGUAAACCAUUUGGUUAAUCAUCCGAUCAGUGCAUUUUCAGGUUAAACCACUGCUUGUAGCUUAGCAAAAUGCUGGAUAAAUGUGAUUGUUUUCUCUAUUACAAUAAACUAGAGUUUACCAAAGACUA